rnacentral:rRNA from 1 species
GACGGAGGAUGCAAGCGUUAUCCGGAAUGAUUGGGCGUAAAGCGUCCGCAGGUGGCCGUUCAAGUCUGCUGUCAAAGACCGGGGCUUAACUCCGGAAAGGCAGUGGAAACUGAACAGCUAGAGUAUGGUAGGGGCAGAGGGAAUUCCUGGUGUAGCGGUGAAAUGCGUAGAGAUCAGGAAGAACAUCGGUGGCGAAGGCGCUCUGCUGGACCAUAACUGACACUCAGGGACGAAAGCUAGGGGAGCGAAUGGG